rnacentral:sRNA from 1 species
CCCUAGCCCAGAUAGAAGCGGUAUCCUUUUUUCUGGCUUCUUUAGCCAGGAAAAGAUACAAGUGGAUCCCGAAGCUUCG